GAUGAACGCUGGCGGCGUGCCUAAUACAUGCAAGUCGAGCGAACAGAUGAGGAGCUUGCUCCUCUGACGUUAGCGGCGGACGGGAGAGUAACACGGGGAUAAACUAACUAUAAGACUGGGAUAACAUCGGGAAACCGGAGCUAAUACCGGAAAAUAUAUUGAACCGGAUGGUUCAAUAGUGAAAGACGGUAUUGCUGUCACUUAUAGCUGGAUCCGCGUAUGAUUAGCUAGUUGGUAAGGUCACGGCUUACCAAGGCAACGAGGGGAAGCCGGCCCCAAAGGGUGAUCGGCCACACUGGCACUGAGAAAGGUCCCAGACUCCUGCGGUAGGCAGCAGUAGGGAAUCCUCCGGGAGGGGCGAAAGCCUAACGUAGCAACGCCGCGUGAGUGAUGAAGCACUUCGGAUCGUAAAGCUCUGUUGGUAUGAGAGAAGAAAUGUGUAAUUAACUAUGCUCGUCUUGACGGUACCGGAUCAGAAAGCCACGGCUAACUACGUG
rnacentral:rRNA from 1 species